AUUAAAGGGCUGCAGUAAAUUGACUGUACAAAGGUGGCAUAAUCAUUAGUCUUUUAAUUGAAGACUUGUAUGAAAGAUUUGAUGAAAUAUAAACUGUCUCUUCUUUAUAAUUAGAAUUUAAUUUUUUAGUAAAAAAGCUAAAAUAUAUUUAAAAGACGAGAAGACCCUAUAGAGUUUUAUAAUUUGAUUAAAUAUAGUUUUAUAUAAAUAUUUAAAUGUAAAUUAAAUUAAUUAUUAUAUUGGGGUGAUAAAAAAAUUAAAUAAACUUUUUUUUUUUACAACAUUAAUUAAUGAUUAAAUGAUCCAUAAUUUAUGAUUAUAAGAAAAAAUUACCUUAGGGAUAACAGCGUAAUUUUUUUUUUUAGUUCAAAUAAGAAAAAAAGUUUGCGACCUCGAUGUUGGAUUAAGAUAAAAUUUAAAUGUAGAAGUUUAAAAUUUUGAUCUGUUCGAUCAUUAAAAUCUUACA
rnacentral:rRNA from 1 species